CGGUAAUAGCUCAAAUUUGAAAUCUGGCCUCUCGGGGUCCGAGUUGUAAUUUGUAGAGGAUGUUUUGGGUACCGCCCCGGUCUAAAUUUCUUGGAACAGAAUGUCAAAGAGGGUGAGAAUCCCGU
rnacentral:rRNA from 1 species